GAUGAACGCUAGCUACAGGCUUAACACAUGCAAGUCGAGGGGCAGCAUGAAAGGAACUUCGGUUCUUUUUGGUGGCGACCGGCGCACGGGUGCGUAACGCGUAUCGAACCUGCCUCAUACAGGGGGAUAACAGUUGGAAACGGCUGCUAAUACCGCAUAAGCGCACAGUACCGCAUGGUACGGUGUGAAAAACUCCGGUGGUAUGAGAUGGACCCGCGUCUGAUUAGCCAGUUGGCGGGGUAACGGCCCACCAAAGCGACGAUCAGUAGCCGGCCUGAGAGGGCGACCGGCCACAUUGGGACUGAGACACGGCCCAA
rnacentral:rRNA from 1 species